rnacentral:rRNA from 1 species
GGAAAGUAGGCGAAAGGGUAGGAGUAACACGUGAGCAACCUAGCCUCCGGAUCCGGAAUAAUACCAGGGAAACUUGGUCUAAAACCGAAUGAAGACAUUGGUCCGCAUGGUCUAAUGUUAAAUAUUUAUAGUCCGGAGAGGGGCUUGCGGCCCAUUAGCUUGUUGGCGGGGUAAUGGCCCACCAAGGCUACGACGGGUAGGUGGUCUGAGAGGAUGGCCACCCACACUGGGACUGAGACACUGCCCAGACUCCUACGGGAGGCUGCAGUCGAGAAUCUUCCGCAAUGGGCGCAAAGCCUGACGGAGCGAUGCCGCGUGAGGGGUGAAGGCCUUCGGGUUGUAAACCUCUGUCAUCCGGGACGAAAACAAUGACGGUACCGGAAAAGGAAGCCACGGCAAACCACGUGCCAGCAGCUGC